rnacentral:misc_RNA from 1 species
CAGAUUUCAGUGCUGUCUCUUCGGCAGAAAUGCUCCAAGGACUCCAUCAGACAGCUCGUGAUUGCUUCUUUCCUAUUCAAAGCACGCGUUCCAUUCCAAUCCGGGAUUUUUACUUGAGUUUUAGAGCAUUUAGAGAUCCUGAAGUUCAGAUAGAUGAAUACAAGGAAGCUACUUUAGGGUGUCCGGUAACUUUUCAGUCUGAUAAUAGUUUGGCCUCAGGAGGAUAUGAUCUGCAAGUAGAAGGACAGCCUCCUCCGAAUGUUCUUCCUAAGAAGAGAGGUGGAAAGAAAAGUGAUGGAAUAAAUGCAACUGGUCCCAAGUUUAGCUCUAAAACCAACUUACCUAGGAUGACUGCAGAUGGUACCAGUAUGAAUGGCUCUCCCCUGAUUGAUUCUGUACAGACAGGACCUGAUACACUCAAAAAAG